UACGGAGGAUGCAAGCGUUAUCCGGAAUGAUUGGGCGUAAAGCGUGCGCAGGUGGCUGUGUAAGUCUGCUGUCAAAGAGCGAAGCUCAACUUCGUAAAGGCAGUGGAAACUACACGGCUAGAGUGCGUUCGGGGCAGAGGGAAUUCCUGGUGUAGCGGUGAAAUGCGUAGAGAUCAGGAAGAACACCGGUGGCGAAGGCGCUCUGCUAGGCCGCAACUGACGCUGAGACGCGAAAGCGUGGGGAGCGAACAGG
rnacentral:rRNA from 1 species